AGUUUAGACACAGUUUCAGUUUUAUUUAAAAACAAAACUGUCUAGGUUAUAAAUUACAAAGAAUAAAACCAUAAACAAAUGGAACACAGAACACUCUCAAUCGAAUGUCAAACGUCAGUCGUUCACUAGUAAAAAAACUCAGCGUUUCAGCGCAAAUUAAUCGGAUUGCACUCGGAUUAUUUUGGUGAACGCGACCAAGGGCCUGUGGUGGGAUCACGAUCAGUAGAAUGGUAGAAUGCUGACGUCACAAAAAUAAUUCUACAAUCGACAAUUUUGGUAUCACGUUAACACGCUUGGGAAAGUAGAAUCGGUGCUCGGCAAUGUUCGGAUAUUCUACUAGCCGUGUUAAAAAUAUCGCUUCUUCUUCUUAAAAAUAUUGCUGUUUGACGUGUGGUUGUCUUUAUUUUGUGGUGGUUGCAUUCAAAAAGCUAACCUAAAGAUUAUUAUUUGUGAUUAUUUGCGUUUAUUUGAGAUAUUAUGUUUAUUUUUGUCUUAUGUUUGUUUGGAACUAUUUUAUUAGAAAUCACUAAAUUUUUGGAUUUUACCUGUGACUAGGGAACAUUGUUAUAUAAAGUCUUGGUAUGAAACAAUGUUAAGACAAUACUGUGUGCUUUUUCAGUCCUAUGAAAGAAAAUGUUUUGGAUGUAACAGAGAAGUACUACAACUUUGUUAUGAAGAUUUGUCUUUGUUAUUUUUAUAAUGUUCAUGGAUUAUAUUUGUUUUUAUGUAUUCUUCAGUUUAAAUAAAGUUUAUGUUUUACCCA
rnacentral:lncRNA from 1 species